UGAGGAAGCUGAAUAACACCUCUUGCUGCUGUCAUCUCCAAAAGCUGGGUAUCCUCAGUUUAGAUCAGCACUGGGGAAUAUUUUCCAUUUGGGGUAGAAGUAAAAUCCUGGGAAUCAUAAAGUUAUUUGAAUUUUCAACUUUCAAACAUUGCAUUUUCCUUCUACUAAAAAAUAAUGCUGAAGAGAAUUAAAGGAGCUGUUCCAGGAUUUCUUCUCUCUGGGAGAUACAGCCAAAGUGAUUCACGCCAUUGGAGCAGAUGUGAACUCUUUGGUUUGGAUGCCAGUCCAGAAAUAUGUGCAUUUUUUACCUUCCUUUUUGGGAGCAAG